GUCAAAGCAGUGGCACGUACUUGAAAGACUGAGGGAAAUUAGCCAGUCUUCAAUGAUGGGCAAGAAGCACCUGGUCAAUGGGCUGGGACCUUCUUGGGGACUCAGGUGUGGGCAGUUUGCUCGCGGUUAAAGGAAGAGCUGUGCACCUCCUGCCAGCUCUUGGUGUUUCCUGUCAAUGAUGUUAGUGCCACAGUGCUGCUUUAGAAGACUACUGCUCAUGGGGAAAGAUCUGACAAAGUCAGAUGAGCCUGAAGUUCUCAGGGAUUCGUUUUCCUGCACAUGGACUCCACCCAAAAGUGUACAGGGAAGUGGCCUUUGAGAUUGAAGUGCUAGUGGGAUGGCAAAAGAAGCUGCAAGAGAAAACAGGCUCCUAGGAGGUGUUCAGAGCCAAAGGAAUUGGGAGUAAAAAUUUGCACCUUUUAA